CACAAUAUCACACAAUAUUAAAUCGAAAACGAACUUAAAUAGAGUUCCAAAGCUGCAUUUAGUUAGCUAGGCGAUACUCCCGUUUUACAUAUAGUUUCAUUUACAUGUCGUAAUCAAAAUAAAACAUAUAACAACAUUGUGUGAUUCCUUUUCUGCAACAACUACAAAUUAAAAUUGCCCAAAAUCCAGGUGAAUAUCAUAAGAGCAAUAACUACAGAACAAUGAGCAGUGGUGUCUCUAACAAAUCGAGAAAUUGGGGUCAUGGCUUCGGCCGAGGCAAUUCUUUCGCCUUUGAAACUGGAAGCCGAGACACCUUUUGUUAUUGCGGGAUGAAGACAUGUACAAUCAUCUUGGAUCACCUUAAAUCCAGACAAUCGCUUUUUAACCUGUCCAAAGCCUAUAACUGUAAAUCUAAUUAUUUCUGUAAUUUUUUUUUUGUGGAUUUGAAAUAUGAUUAACUAUGAACUAUGAAGCCUAGAACUGUAAUCUGUAAUCUGGAAUUACUGUAAUCUAUAAUAACCAUAAUUCCCAAUUACAUUACAGAUUUUUAGGCUUCAUAGUUCUAGGCUCAUGUAAUCACUUUGGGAAAAAAAUAAAAAUCUAUAAUUACUGUAAUUUGUAAUUGGCUGCUGACCAAGUGAUUAAGGAUUUCUGAUAUUGCAUUACACUAUCUGCCAAUAGAACAAACAAUAUGAACAACAGUCUUGAUGAUAAUGCAAAUUCCAGAAAAAUAUGCUACAAAGAGCAUAUUCUCAUUGAACCCAAAACACAAGUCCUAGGAUCCAUACACACUGAAAACUGUGGUGCCCGCAUUAUUUAAAAAUUACUUAUAUUCGUUAGAUUUUGGAUAAUGCAAUAACUACUAAACUAGGUUUUUAUAAACAAUAAAAAUUAAAAACCAGCAUGCACACUCUUAAUGUUUUUGUUAUUACAUGUUGUGUUAAUUUAAUUCGGCUAUGUAUUCAGAUUUUGAUAUGCACUUCUUUAAGAAUUACAUAAUUGUAUGAAAUCCCUACAUGGUUUAUAUAUCAACACUACAAGUUACAAGCAAAUCUUCGCCCUGCCACAAUAUUAAUUAUGAAUUAUAAUUUAUUUAUUUUCUGAGUUAAAUUUAUCUUCCUACAUGGCCAAUUUUUAGAUUAUCAAAAAAUCACAAAGAAACUAAUGGAAAACAAUGAUCACAUCACAAUCAAAAUUGAACACAACAUCACCAACCACUAACAACAGAGAUGAUUCACAUUGAUUAACUAAAUAAAAAAAUCGAGAUUAAAAAAAAUCAGAAAUUGGAUCAAACCCGAAUCAGCAAUCAAACUUUAAAAUAGACAAUAAAAUAAAUCAAACACCACCAAAUAAAAAGACAACCUCAAGUUUAAGCCAUCUAAAAAUUAAAAAAAAAAAAAAAAAAACCAUACUUGAUUCUUCAGAGAUGAAUCAAAAGCAAAGAAGAAGAAGAAAACCUUGAGAGGCUAGGGCUGUAAAGCUCGAAAAUAAGUACGAUUGAUUGAGUGGUCAGUCGCGACUUCUACCCCCAAAAUUGGAUGUGCUUUGAUUGUAGGAGCUCGUAUAUUCAGAACAUGAAGAACAUGUCCCGUUGCUAGGGCUAAUCGCGUUUCUGUUGGUAUGAAGAUUGAAGAAGAGGGGUUUUUCUACUUUUAUACCCAGUUAGGU
rnacentral:lncRNA from 1 species